rnacentral:misc_RNA from 1 species
GAUGAAGAACGUAGCGAAAUGCGAUAAGUAAUGUGAAUUGCAGAAUUCAGUGAAUCAUCGAAUCUUUGAACGCACAUUGCGCCCUCUGGUAUUCCGGGGGGCAUGCCUGUUCGAGCGUCAUUACAACCCUCAAGCUUUGCUUGGUAUUGGACAUUGCCAGUUUCUGGCAGGUCUUAAAAUCAGUGGCGGUGCCAUUUGGCUUCAAGCGUAGUAAUUCUUCUCGCUUUGGAGAUCCAAGUGGUUACUUGCCAAUAACCCCCAAUUUUUUCAGGUUGACCUCGGAUCAGGUAGGGAUACCCGCUGAACUUAAGCAUAUCAUAGCGGAGGA